UCUCACGAGGUCUGAUGGUUGUAUAAGGAGCUUUCCUCUUCUCUGGUCGCUCAUUCUUCUUCCUCCUGCCUCCAAGUAAGAAGAGCUUUUGCUCCUCCUUUGCCUUCCGCUGUGAUUUGAAAGCCUCCCCAGCCUCGUGGAACUGUCUCCCAGUCCUAUGUUGAAUAGGAGCAGCCAGAAUGGGAAUCCAUGUCUUGUUCCAGUUCUCAAGGGGAGUGUUUCCAGCUUUUGCCCAUUCAGUAUAAAGGCCCACCAUUCCUAAAAACUCCUGUCUGCUCAGCUUCUUCACGAUGUAUUCUUCACAAACGUUAGAAAUGGCAUAGAGGGAAGCCCCAAGAAGGACCAAGAUGUCACCAAUCAAUACGUCAUUCCCUGCAGGAAGACAAGGCACAGAAGCAAAACACUGUCAACAGAAUAAACGUGAAAACAUGAACAAAAUCCUGCUGUGAUUAAAGCACAAACAUGAGACACCUUGUUACCUGAAUUGUCUUCCCUCCCUGCGAGUAUGUCUGCUCCAACCAUGGUUCCUACACCCAACAGACAGACAGCCACAGCGAUGAAGUGGAUCACUCUGUAUCUCGCAUAAAGAAUAAACCAGGACAGAGCCAUCAGCACAGGAAUCCCAAAGCAAUCCAAAAGCUGCACGGAAAGAGAACAGUUUAAAACCUCCCUCAUUAGCUAAAGAUGGUAAUGAAGAAAUACUAGGACUCAGUAGUCAUUGAGCAUUUAUUACUGGCAGCCCUCUACCAAGAGCUUUACCUGGAUUCACUCGUUUGAUCCUUACGACUCUAUGAGAUUGAAAUUACAAUCUAAUUUUAUACAUGAAAACAUGAAGGCAGAGAGGUGAAAUGAGUUGCCAAAAUCACAUAGUUAAAAAUGGGAUGACAGCUGGGCAUGGUGGCUCAUGCCUGUAAAAUCUCAGUACUUUAAGAGGUUGUGGCAGGCAGAUUGCCUGAGCCUAGGAGUUCAAGAUCAGCCUGGGCAACGUGGUGAAACUAUCUCUACCAAAAAAAAAAAAAUAUAUAUAUAUAUAUAUACAUAUAUAUAUACACACACACACACACACACACACAAUUGUUGGGUGUGGCGGUGCAUGCCUGUAGUCCCAGCCACUGGGGAGACUAAGGCGAGAGGAUAACUGGAGCCCAGGAGGUCAAGGCUACAGUGAGCUGUGAUAAUGCCACUACACUUCAGCCUUCACCACACAGAGAGACCCUGUCUCAAAAUAAAUAAUAAAAUACAAUGGAAGAGUCAGUUGCUGAACAUAAGACUGCCAAAGGCCUGUGCGCCUUACCUCUAUGCUCCCACCUGUGUAUAUCUUUUUUAUUUUAUUUUUUGAGGGAGAGUUUCACUCUGUUGCCCAGGCUGGAGUGCACUGGUACAAUCUCAACUCACCGUAACCUCCACCUCCCAGGUUCAAGCAACUCUCCCUGCCUCAGCCUCCUGAGUAGCUGGGAUUACAGGCACCUGCCACCAUGCCCAGCUAAUUUUUGUAUUUUUUAGUAGAGAUGGGAUUUCCUCAUGUUAGCCAAGCUGGUCUUGAACUCCUAACCUAAAGUGAUCCACCCACCUCGGCCUCCCAAAGUGCUGGGAUUACAGGUGUGAGCCACCACGCCCGGCCCUGUGUGUAUCUUUAAGUCCGGUAGACAAACAUCUCUUCCUUCAUGCAACCAUUUACUCAGUCAACAAAUAUUUGUCAAACACCUUGCAUGUGUGAGAUGCCAUGAAAGCAGCUUGGAAUAGGGGUGAACAGGACAGAACCAGUGUGCCCUCAGGCCACACAAAGCUAUAAAGGAUGUGGAAUAAAUAAUCACACAGCCAGAUAUUUCAGUGGAACUGGGCUAAGUGCUACAAAGAAGCACGGGUUACUAUGAGUGCAAACAGACAGCACGCCCCUGACAAAGCGUCCAACCCCACCACGUGAGACACACUCAUGCUCACAGCAGAUUCUCUUGCUCGUCUUCAUCACGUGCUCCUCCAUCACCUGUUGAUCCUGGGUCUGGAAAACACUGGCUAUACCCCUGAUACUGCUCAUCCGGAAGGCAGAGGGAUUAAGCAUGCCAAAAUUAUAGCAGGUCCAAAAUUGUUUGCAAGAUAAAAAAAAAAGUACACUCACUCGAUUCCUAAAUUCACAAAUUUAAUGUGCAUUCAAGGAUAAAAUCUAUUCAAGAAAUUCUUGAUGCAUUCAAAUGUUUUCAAGGAAGAAAUGUAUUCUUUAUACUAAAUCCUCCUGAAACUGCUAUGUUAUUGCUCACCCUGUUGUUGGUUCAAACCUUGUCCGGGAUUCUCUGUAUCUGUUUAGUCUUGAAGAAGACAGGCCCCUGAAUCCGCAGAGCGCAUUCGAUCCUGCCCACGGUUGUUUACUGCUUGCCUCUCACUGCAGCAGCUCCAGUGGAGUCCAAUGCACCAUGUGUAGGAAUGGGCAUCGUGCCUUGUUAUGUAUGCCAGCUGCAGAACUCUAAUCUCCUAAGUGCUUUAUUGAGCCUGCCUGAAUAACAAAACAUUAAACGAUGCAAAUGAUAAUGCCCUGUCCCCAAAGACACCAGCAGAAUCCAGCCAUAAUGGCUUAACAAAAUCUCAACUACAUUCCUUAAACAAAACAAGUGGAAAAAGACACUCUAAGAACUACCACGGAAGAGUCCCUUAUCCUUGUGUCUUAAAAUCAAACUUAAAUUUGCUCUAUCUUUAACAAUUUUUGUUGGGCACUGAGGGAGCUACCUAUGUACACCAUGGACAGAGCUCCAGAGACCUCAGGCCCCAGGCGCACACCGUCCAGCUAGCUGUGUGGUCCUCAGCCAGUCACUCUCCAAGUCAAAAAGUAAAAUAAAAAGAUGACACCAAAUGAUCUCACAGUUUCCCUCUGACUCUGACAUUCCAUGACUUCUCAUCUGAUAGCUAUCACCUUCAGUCAUGUGAACCUUCCUUUCAAAAUGUAUUCCUGGUGGCCAGGCACGGUGGCUCACGCCUAUAAUACCAGCACUAUGGGGAGUCAAGCUAGGAGGAUCACUUGAGGUCAGGAGUUUGAGACCAUCUUGGCCAACAUGGCAAAACCUCAUUAUCUACUCAAAAUCCAAAAAAAAAAAUCAGCCAGGCAUGCUGACACAUGCUUAUAAUCCCAGCUACUCACAGAAGGCUGAGGCACCAGAAUCGCCUGAACCUGGGAGGCAGAGGCUGCAGUGAGCCAAGAUCGUGCCACUGCACUCCAGCUGGGUUAAGAGAGUGAGAUUCCGUCUUGGGAAAAAAAAAUUAGCCAGGCAUGGUGGCAUGUGCCUAUAAUCCCAGCUGCUCAGGAGGCUGAGGCAGGACAAUCACUUGAACCUGGAAGGCAGAAGUUGCAGUGAGCCAAGAUUGUGCCACUGUACUCCAGCUUGGGCAACAGAGCAAUACUUAUUUUCUCAUUUAAAAAAAAAAAAAAAAGGUAUUCUUGAUGAUAGAUGUCUUCUCUGAUACUUUCCAUUCUAGGAGUAUCAAUUCAUUUUUAGAAAAUUAUUGUACAGUCACAGUAAGCACGGUACUAAGUAAAACCCUGGGACGUGGGUAUAACAGUAAGUUAGACCAUGAGAGGUACAAUAGAGUAAAGAAGAGAUAAUGAAAACUGAAUUAGCCUUAGACACUGAGCGGAGCAGCCUUCCGAAAGGACUGCCUACUAGGAAGAACAGAGCAGCACAGAGAGAAGGGGCAGGCCAUGGGUGGGAAAUGGGUUGAUGUGGCAGUAAAGAGGGACGGGACAUGAGCAGAAACCUGGCCCACAGGAUGGCAGUGGCCACAUCAUGACCUUCACGUGAACUACCCCAUGACUGUUGUAAUUACAGAACCUUCUAAGGAAUCUUUAAGAAGCUUCAAAGGCCACCUAAUCCGAAUUUCCAUCCCUUUGGACUACCCAGGCCAGAGACUGACUCAGGUAGAGAUCCAGCCUGAAUCAUUCCUGACAACCAUCUCUGCUGCUGGAGAAAACAUUAAUGGUUCCCUGCCUUUUUGUAACAUAUUCCUUGCUAGGACCAUAAGUGCAUGACUUUUGGCAACCAAAUGCUUAGGUUUUUCUAAGAGGCUAGCAUGAAAGAAAUUGUUUUCCGUUUCUUUGAAACUGAAAAAGAGGCAUGAAGGUCACAGAUAUCGAACUGUAAGUUUGAACUUAGGCCUUGCAUCAGUUCAAGACUUUUAAUCAUUAUUCGUCAGAGAUCAAAGUUCCUGAGAAUUGUAAUCAAGUAAUUAAAAUGUACGUGAGAUUA